rnacentral:rRNA from 1 species
UACGAAGGGACCUAGCGUAGUUCGGAAUUACUGGGCUUAAAGAGUUCGUAGGUGGUUGAAAAAGUUGGUGGUGAAAUCCCAGAGCUUAACUCUGGAACUGCCAUCAAAACUUUUCAGCUAGAGUAUGAUAGAGGAAAGCAGAAUUUCUAGUGUAGAGGUGAAAUUCGUAGAUAUUAGAAAGAAUACCAAUUGCGAAGGCAGCUUUCUGGAUCAUUACUGACACUGAGGAACGAAAGCAUGGGUAGCGAAGAGGAUUAGAUACCCUCGUAGUCCAUGCCGUAAACGAUGUGUGUUAGACGUUGGAAAUUUAUUUUCAGUGUCGCAGCGAAAGCGAUAAACACACCGCCUGGGGAGUACGACCGCAAGGUUAAAACUCAAAUGAAUUGACGGGGACCCGCACAAGUAGUGGAGCAUGUGGUUUAAUUCGAAGAUACGCGCAGAACCUUACCAACACUUGACAUGUUCGUCGCGACUCUAAGAGAUUAGAGUUUUCGGUUCGGCCGGACGAAACACAGGUGCUGCAUGGCUGUCGUCAGCUCGUGUCGUGAGAUGUUGGGUUAAGUCCCGCAACGAGCGCAACCCUCACUUUUAGUUGCCAUCAUUAAGUUGGGCACUCUGAAAGAACUGCCAGUGAUAAGCUGGAGGAAGGUGGGGAUGACGUCAAGUCCUCAUGGCCCUUACGUGUUGGGCUACACACGUGCUACAAUGGUAUCUACAACAGGAAGCAAGACUGUGAAGUUAAGCAAAUCCCUAAAAGAUACCUCAGUUCGGAUUGCACUCUGCAACUCGAGUGCAUGAAGCUGGAAUUACUAGUAAUCGUGGAUCAGCGUGCCACGGUGAAUGCGUUCCCGGGUCU